rnacentral:rRNA from 1 species
UACAGAGGUCCCAAGCGUUGUUCGGAUUCACUGGGCGUAAAGGGUGCGUAGGCGGUCGGGUAAGUCUGAUGUGAAAUCUCACAGCUUAACUGUGAAACUGCAUUGGAUACUAUCCGGCUCGAGGAGUGGAGGGGAGACUGGAAUACUUGGUGUAGCAGUGAAAUGCGUAGAUAUCAAGUGGAACACCAGUGGCGAAGGCGAGUCUCUGGGCAUUAACUGACGCUGAGGAGCGAAAGCAUGGGGAGCGAACAGG